UACGUAGGGUGCAAGCGUUAAUCGGAAUUACUGGGCGUAAAGCGUGCGCAGGCGGUUGUGCAAGACAGAUGUGAAAUCCCCGGGCUCAACCUGGGAAUUGCAUUUGUGACUGCACGGCUAGAGUGUGUCAGAGGGGGGUAGAAUUCCACGCGUAGCAGUGAAAUGCGUAGAGAUGUGGAGGAAUACCGAUGGCGAAGGCAGCCCCCUGGGAUAACACUGACGCUCAUGCACGAAAGCGUGGGGAGCAAACAGG
rnacentral:rRNA from 1 species